AAGCACGCUGCUAUAGAAACGGAUUUGGGAGACGCGUUGUAGAGAGAUCGCCGAUUUUCAGGGCGUCUCAGAGUUUCUUUUCGGGCUUCAUCACUCUGCAUUGCUCCAGGAUUGCUCCAGGUCCUCAUCGCCGUUCCGUAUAACGCAGUGCUGCAUACAGUACUACUGCUCAUCCAAACACUUCACUCAUCUCAGGCAGACCAGCGGUGUGUUUAUGUCUUUGCUUUACGAAAACGCAGACUAUUCGGACGUCAGGAGCUGCGGAUGGGAAAGAGCUGUUGGACAGCUGUUGAAACCUGCGUGGGGGGAACUUAGUCUACGAGCUUGCCCCUUGGAGCCUCACUGGCCAAACCAUUUUCAUGUCAGAG
ensembl:lncRNA